GUGGGGAAUUUUGGACAAUGGGCGCAAGCCUGAUCCAGCAAUGUCGCGUGCAGGAAGAAGGCCUUCGGGUUGUAAACUGCUUUUGUACGGAACGAAACGGUCCUGGCUAAUAUCCGGGGCUAAUGACGGUACCGUAAGAAUAAGCACCGGCUAACUACGUUCCAGCAGCCGCGGUAAUACGUAGGGUGCGAGCGUUCAUCGGAAUUACUGGGCGUAAAGCGUGCUCAGGCGGUGCUGUAAGACAGGCGUGAAAUCCCCGGGCUGAACCUGGGGAUUGCGCUUGUGACUGCAGUGCUGGAGUGCGGCAGAGGGGGAUGGAAUUCCGCGUGUAGCAGUGAAAUGCGAAGAUAUGCGGAGGAACACCGAUGGCGAAGGCAAUCCCCUGGGCCUGCACUGACGCUCAUGCACGAAAGCGUGGGGAGCAAACAGGAUUAGAAACCCCAGUAGUCC
rnacentral:rRNA from 1 species